rnacentral:lncRNA from 1 species
GCCUGCACCCAAAAUUUUUUUUUUCUUUUUUUUUCUUUUUCGUAUAUAGUAUUAUACAAUUUUUUAAAAAAAAUACAUGGGUUCCGGCCAUUGACAGGCCAGAACCCAAAAAAAUAAUUUUUUUAAGUCUGACACAAUGAUUAGCCAAUCAUUGGUGCAAAAAAAGAGUGGGUACUGUUUAUUUUAGGUUAUUUUGGUGAUUAUUUUUGAACUUGAGUUAUUUUUGCAAAUAUAAUUUAUUUUUGGGUUAGUUUGGUAAAACAGCCCUUGACAAUCUUUGCAUGUUGUUGCUCUCUGAAGGUAUGAAUAGCUUUUUGCUGAUCUUUCCCUGUAAGCAAAAUUAUAGGUUUAUGUUUGAGUUUAUUGACUCUUGUAAUAUGUAGAUGUGGUUUUCUGUUCUUUGUUCCAAAUGGGGAAUAUUUGGAACCGUGCUAUAUUAAACCUGAUGAUGGUAUGCAUAUUGUUUGCUUCAUUCCUUUGUCAUGAUGUAAUUUCGUUACUGGCAUUAAUUGAUGCUACAUCCUCCGACAGCGACCUUGAAAAUGAGAGUGGUGUUAGAAUGGUGGCAUUGUUUGAUCAUGAGGAGGUUGGAUCUAAUUCAGCACAAGGAGCGGAUCUCCUGCAAUGGAAUAUUUGGAACCGUGCUAUAUUAAACCUGAUAAUGGUAUGCAUAUUUUUUGCUUCAUCCCUUUGUCAUGAUGUAAUUUCAUUACAGG